AGGUCUGUAGCAAUACAGAUGCUGGCGACCGGCAAACGGGUGCGGAACACGUACACAACCUUCCUUUAAGUGGGGAAUAGCCCGGGGAAACCCGGAUUAAUACCCCGUAACAUAUAGAAGUGGCAUCGCUUUUAUAUUAUAGCAGCAAUGCGCUUGAAGAUGGGUGUGCGGCUGAUUAGAUAGUUGGCGGGGUAACGGCCCACCAAGUCGACGAUCAGUAACUGGUGUGAGAGCACGACCAGUCACACGGGCACUGAGACACGGGCCCGACUCCUACGGGAGGCAGCAGUAAGGAAUAUUGGUCAAUGGACGCAAGUCUGAACCAGCCACGCCGCGUGGAGGAUGAAGGUCCUCUGGAUUGUAAACUUCUUUUAUUUGGGAAGAAAUCUAUCUUUUCUUGGAUAGUUGACGGUACCAGAUGAAUAAGCACCGGCUAACUCCGUGCCAGCAGCCGCGGUAAUACGGAGGGUGCAAGCGUUAUCCGGAUUCACUGGGUUUAAAGGGUGCGUAGGUGGGCAAGUAAGUCAGUGGUGAAAUCUCCGGGCUUAACCCGGAAACUGCCAUUGAUACUAUUUGUCUUGAAUACUGUGGAGGUCAGCGGAAUAUGUCAUGUAGCGGUGAAAUGCUUAGAUAUGACAUAGAACACCAAUUGCGAAGGCAGCUGGCUACACAAAUAUUGACACUGAGGCACGAAAGCGUGGGGAUCAAACAGGAUUAGAUACCCUGGUAGUCCACGCCCUAAACUAUGGAUACUCGACAUUUGCGAUAAACUGCAAGUGUCUGAGCGAAAGCAUUAAGUAU
rnacentral:rRNA from 1 species